GUUUAUCUACGAGCUCCUGGAGGAGCAGAGGCCACUCAGCCCCUGAUACAAUCUUGGGUGCCGUGUGCGUGGGGACAGUUUAUAGCCCCGCAUGACAGAAAUCAGAUAUUUAGGGAGAUGGAGUGAUGGCCUGGCGUUAGUGGGGUCCGACGUGUUCCAGACUCCGUGCCCUAUCCCCAGGGCUCUAAUGGCUGUGUGUGGGUGGGGGUGUACUCCACCUACGAGGCGCUGGGAGUCAAAUGCAUUUAUCAGCUUCCUGGAGAUUUAAAACCCAAUAGCCUCUCUCCUGCCAUUGCAGAGAGUGGCAACAGUGUACGCAGGUGAAACGUGAUUCCCAGGGUCCAUGCUGCUUUUUCUUCCCCCAGGCCUGCAAAUUAUUCUCCCCGUGGUCUUUCUGCUUGAG
rnacentral:lncRNA from 1 species